CCUGCCGGCGACCGGCGCACGGGUGAGUAACACGUAUCCAACCUGCCGAUGACUCGGGGAUAGCCUUUCGAAAGAAAGAUUAAUACCCGAUGGCAUAGUUCUUCCGCAUGGUAGAACUAUUAAAGAAUUUCGGUCAUCGAUGGGGAUGCGUUCCAUUAGCUUGUUGGCGGGGUAACGGCCCACCAAGGCAUCGAUGGAUAGGGGUUCUGAGAGGAAGGUCCCCCACAUUGGAACUGAGACACGGUCCAAACUCCUACGGAAGGCAGCAG
rnacentral:rRNA from 1 species